rnacentral:lncRNA from 1 species
AUAAAUUAAAAUUUCAUAUAAUCGAACAAUUUUGAAGAAUAUAUACUAAUUUGGUUAUCAUGUGCUAGACUAUGUUCAUAGUUUAGAAACAAAAGGUUCUAACAUGUUAUGUCUUUUAGUAGUUGAUUUCAUAGGGUUAGAUUUUAGAUUUUGUUUUUUUUUUUUGUUUUAUUAACUUAAAUCUGCAUAUUAAUGUUUAGUAGUUUAUAUUUUGUAUAAAUGAGACUUUUUGAUUAUCAAGCAAAACAUUUAGGGUUUGAUAUUUGUGGUUUAGGGUUUCGUAGACCUACAAUAAAGUCUAUUUAUCUGAAGACGUCUUUUUCAGUCUAUAUUUUUCAAUUUGUUUUACAAAAAAUCAUUAUAUUUAAACUAAGUUAAGUUCCUUAAGAAUAAAAAAGUGAAAUCAUAUACUAUAACUAUUAAAAAAUAAAGAAAUAAAUUUAAUAAAUCAUAUAUUAAAAUUAUUAAAAUAAUAAAGAAUAAACAACAAUAAUUAAAUUAUUAUAGUAGACUUCCAAAAAGGUCUACUAUGUUAUAGUAAGAUCUACUCCAAAAUUUU